CAAGUUUUCCUCUGUCCCAAAUUUCUUGUCUUAGAUUUGUCUAGAUACGGAUGUAUCUAAUACUAAAAUGUGACUUGAUACAUCCGUAUCUAGACAAAUCUAAGACAAGAAUUUUGGGAUGGAGGGAGUACUUU
rfam:Triticum aestivum genome assembly, contig: Triticum_aestivum_CS42_TGACv1_scaffold_196960_3AL